rnacentral:rRNA from 1 species
GACGAACGCUGGCGGCGUGCUUAACACAUGCAAGUCGAACGGAAAGGCCCCUUCGGGGGUACUCGAGUGGCGAACAGGUGCGUAACACGUGAGUAACCUGCCCUUGACUUCGGGAUAACUUCAGGAAACUGGGGCUAAUACCGGAUAGGAAUCCUUGCUGCAUGGUGGGGGUUGGAAAGCUUCGGCGGUUUUGGAUGGACUCGCGGCUUAUCAGCUUGUUGGUGGGGUAGUGGCUUACCAAGGCUUUGACGGGUAGCCGGCCUGAGAGGGCGACCGGCCACAUUGGGACUGAGAUACGGCCCAGACUCCUACGGGAGGAAGCAGUGGGGAAUAUUGCACAAUGGGCGGAAGCCUGAUGCAGCAACGCCGCGUGCGGGAUGACGGCCUUAGGGUUGUAAACCGCUUUCAGCAGGGGCGAAGCUUGUGGUGACGGUACCUGCAGAAGAAGCACCGGCUAACUACGUG